UGGGCAGGUUGAAGGUUGGGUAACACUAACUGGAGGACCGAACCGACUAAUGUUGAAAAAUUAGCGGAUGACUUGUGGCUGGGGGUGAAAGGCCAAUCAAACCGGGAGAUAGCUGGUUCUCCCCGAAAGCUAUUUAGGUAGCGCCUCGUGAAUUCAUCUCCGGGGGUAGAGCACUGUUUCGGCAAGGGGGUCAUCCCGACUUACCAACCCGAUGCAAACUGCGAAUACCGGAGAAUGUUAUCACGGGAGACACACGGCGGGUGCUAACGUCCGUCGUGAAGAGGGAAACAACCCAGACCGCCAGCUAAGGUCCCAAAGUCAUGGUUAAGUGGGAAACGAUGUGGGAAGGCCCAGACAGCCAGGAUGUUGGCUUAGAAGCAGCCAUCAUUUAAAGAAAGCGUAAUAGCUCACUGGUCGAGUCGGCCUGCGCGGAAGAUGUAACGGGGCUAAACCAUGCACCGAAGCUGCGGCAGCGACGCUUAUGCGUUGUUGGGUAGGGGAGCGUUCUGUAAGCCUGUGAAGGUGUGCUGUGAGGCAUGCUGGAGGUAUCAGAAGUGCGAAUGCUGACAUAAGUAACGAUAAAGCGGGUGAAAAGCCCGCUCGCCGGAAGACCAAGGGUU
rnacentral:rRNA from 1 species